GGCCAGUUAGCUCAGUCAGUUGAGCGUGGUGCCAAAAAUGCCAAGGUUGUGGGUUUGAUUCCCGUUCGGUCCC
rnacentral:tRNA from 1 species